rnacentral:misc_RNA from 1 species
UCGAAACCUCUGCAACAGCAGAACGACCCGUGAACCCGUGAUAACGCCYGCGGGGGGCGCGCUCCGCGGCMGCUCCCCCACGUCUCCGCGGGUGCGGGACACGUCCCGUUCCCCGCGGGGGCGGACAACGAACCCCCGGCGCGGACUGCGCCAAGGAAAUCUAACGAGAGAGCACGCUCCCGGGGCCCCGGAAACGGUGCGCUCCGGGACGCGGCGCCUUCUUUCACUCUAUCUGAAACGACUCUCGGCAACGGAUAUCUCGGCUCUCGCAUCGAUG